rnacentral:lncRNA from 1 species
UGUAUUCAUCUCCUAAAGGCCAAAUAUUUGGGCCUGAAGAGGUGUUGGACAAGGACAGGAAUGCCAUCAGGAACUUCAGCAACCGUUUUCCUAAUCAGGCCUCUGCCAUCUUGCCAGGUCAUGCUUACCUGCUGCUGCUUCUCCCUCUGAAAAUAAGUUUUCUUGCUUCCAAGUGCACAACCAUCUCAAGUUCACGUUUUCUCUUCAAGUCACCAGCAGAGAUGGACUAACGUACCCUUGUACCCUUAGUCCAGUUCCAAAGUCUCCCAAAAACCAAAUUGGCUAAUACUGGAUGAGGUCACUGCUGCAAGCCUUUCAACACACAGCACAGUGGGUGAUAUUAUAAUUCAAGCCGAACUCCAGAGCAGUUCUCUGAAGUGGAGGCAAAGUGCAGAGAAUCCCAAUUUGCAUUUUGUUCUGGGAGUUCAUGGAACCUAAGUGAAAUCCAAGAGAUUAGUCAGCUCUCUUAGAAUUCCACAUGUAUUCAGAACAUUAACCAGAGAUUGUAGGACUACAGUUUGUGGUCCAAACCCAGACCACAGACCUCUGUUGUUUGGCCCAUGUGGUAUUUUGUUUAAUUUUUUUUAGUAAUCUCUACACCAAUAUGGGGCUCAAACUCACUAUCUCAAGAUCAAGAGUCACAUACUCCGGCCCAUGUGGUAUUUUAAAAAAUGAGAAAUUUUACAUAAAAAGUAAAACAGCAAAAAUAUUCAAAAAAUAUCUACUGAAUUUGGUAGUUAGAAGUCAUGAGUGCUCUUGAGCGCGUGGGUGGCUCAGUUGGCUAGGUGCCUGCCUUAGGCUCAGGUCCUGAUCCCAGAGUCCUGGAAUCCAGUCCCACGUCACACUCUCUGCUGAGCAGGGAGUCUGUUUCUCCCUCUCCCUCUGUCCCACCCCCUGGCUCAUGCUCAUUCUCUCUCUCUGAAAUAGUCUUAAAAAAAAGUCAUGGGUGUUCUCGACAAGAAGAGUAAAUGAAAUUCACUGUUCACUACUGAUUAAAGGCCAAUACAGUGAAGUUACAUGUUAAAUUGUAGAUUUAACUUUUCAGUGGAAUGGAUAACUCCAAAGGUUAUAUACGGCUUAUUACCUUGGUAGGACAUUAGCCAGUUUGUAUCUAACUCUGCAACCUUACACUAACAUUCUAUUAUCAAUUGAACUUGAGGUGCCUGGGUGGUUCAGUUGGUUGGGCAUUUGACUCUUGGUUUUGGCUCAGGUCAUGACCUCAGGUCAUUGAUCUCAGGGAUCAAACCCCGUAUCAGGCUCCAUGCUGAGUGUGGAGUCUGCUUCAGAUUCUCUCCCUCUGUGCCUCGCCCCACCCACUACUCUCUCAAAUAAAUUAUUAUUUUUAAUAAAUUCUUUAAAAAAGUAAAAAUAAAUUGUCUCUAAGGAUCCAUUAUGCAAAGGCGCUUUGAUAACAGUUUUAACAUAUGACUGGUUCCCUCAUUAACUGCACUGAAUAUUUGUCACAUGUUCCUUUUAUGUUUGCAUGGGAUUCUAGAUUUCACCUUUUUGAAAUUCUAUUGUAACAAAACUUUUGAUUACUGACUACUGGAGACAGAACAAAAUCUUUUAAAAGUUUACCUGCAUGG